rnacentral:rRNA from 1 species
AGGAUCAUUAUCAUGUAACUCAGUCAUGCACGCUGCGUGAGNNNGUUAGCUAUACACCCACCCUGCGUACGUCCUCCUGUNNNNNCCCGUCCGGUGCCUGCGCCCGGGCGGGAGGGGCAAAACAACCUCCAAAUUUUUCUUACUGCCGAAUCUGUCUGAACGAAUUGAACGAAUGAAAAAGUUAAAACUUUCAGCAACGGAUCUCUUGGUUCUCGCAUCGAUGAAGAACGCAGCGAAAUGCGAUAAGUAGUGUGAAUUGCAGAAUUCAGUGAAUCAUCGAAUCUUUGAACGCACAUUGCGCCUUCUGGUAUUCCGGGAGGCAUGCCUGUUCGAGAGUCAUUGACAACCAUCCCAAAUCCCCCCCUUUUCCCUCCUUGAGGGUUUCGGGUGCGAUCUCGGGUUCUGGUGGAUGAGGAAUGCGUUGCCCCGGCAGAUCUCUCCUCUCCUCCCAAAUUCAUGGGCGGUCGCCGGCUUUUAUAGAGAGGAAAACCCCCGCAACGCCUGCUGCGUUUUAAUGUAUUUCGCCCUUGCUGCGUUGCGGGAGCUUUCGGGGCCACGGACGACCAGCCUACCCAGUGAAAUAAGAAUAAUCCCCAGUUGUUUUUAUGUAACCUAAAUCUCAAAGGUUGACCUCGGAUCAGGUAGGGAUACCCGCUGAACUUAAGCAUAUCAAUAAGCGGAGGAAAAGAAACCAACCGGGAUUGCCUCAGUAACUGCGAGUGAAGUGGCAAAAGCUCAAAUUUGAAAUCCGGUACCUUUGGUGCCUGACUUGUAAUUUGGAGAGACAAAUUUGGUUGGCGGCGCCGGCCUAGGUUCCUUUGAACAGGACAACAUAGAGGGUGAGAAUCCCGUGCCUGGUUGGACGGCCGUCACAUCGCUAGAUUGUCUUCGACGAGUCGAGUUGUUUGGGAAUGCAGCUCAAAAUGGGUGGUAAAUGUCAUCUAAAGCUAAAUAUUGGCGAGAGACCGAUAGCGCACAAGUAGAGUGAUCGAAAGAUGAAAAGCACUUUGAAAAGAGAGUCAAAAAGUACGUGAAAUUGCUGAAAGGGAAGCGCUUGAGACCAGACUCGAACCGUGGCGAUCGCCCGCGCUUCUGCGCAGGUGUCACUUGCCACGGUUUGGGCCAGCAUCGGUUCUGGCGGCCGGAUAAAANGUGGGGGAAUGUAGCUUCCUUCGGGGAGUGUUAAUUAGCCCNACGACCAGAAUGCGGCCAGCCGGGACCGAGGGAUAUCGCGCUCGCUGAAG